UCAAAAUCAAAAUCAAGAAAUGGUGAUGGACAAACAAUCUUGAGCAGAAGUCACAGCUCAAAAAUCAUCAUAGAACUUCCAAGCUAAAUCCGCACCCACAACUCUCUUCCCCAUCACCCCUUACCAGAUCUCUAAACCACGAUUUGACCCACAUAUGGGUUCCUUUUGGGAUCACUUCGAACUCACUUCUCGAAGAGAGAGUUUCAAGCCAACAAAAAAAAAAAUGACAUAGGCCUCGCUUGCAUGCCUUGUGGCAAACUAGACUGAAGUUGAAAAAGUUGAACCCAAUUUCUUCACUUGUAGUCCAGGGCUUUGUUUGGCAUUGAGCUUCGGCUUGCUUUCCUGGUCAUGGAUUAAACCUCUGCUAUCCUAAUUCAGUCUAUAGGCUUUGGUUUAGGUAUGUUGGGGCGUGAGACAAGCUUCGUAGGACCAUCAAGGGUAAGGCCAAUUCCGAAAUAAAAAAUUGCAUUUGAUCCCUGUCCUUCCAUUCACGUUAAAGGUCCUACCUUUUCUGUCUCUCAUCACCUGCCCUACAUACCCACCACCGCCACGGCGCCACCCGUCCUCAGCCCUUCACAGCUGUCUCCUUUCUUCAUUGGUGCCGUCAGGUCCUCCCCUGCAUACCAAGCAUUCAGCCAUUCACGUAACAAGGUAAACAACACCCCCACAAAUUCUCUCUCAAUCCAGCUGCAAAACCACUUUCCUUUGCCCAACCGGUCCUUGAAAGGACUAGCCCCAAGAUUACCAGCAAACCAUCUUCAAUUUCUUGAAUGGGUUCAAGAGAUCUAUGGUCGCUGCCGUCACUACUCAUAUCUGGAGCUGCUAAGGUUUCGUGCCCCAUUGGCAAACAUUAGUGGGUGGAAGAGGAAGAAUCCGGUGGAGCUACUCAGAUUUGGCGACACAACUCUGUUAACAGAAGGGCAUCUAAGAUAUGAGAUGACCCAAAAAUGGAUUGUACGUGAUGGAGGAGUAUGUGACUACUAGUUAUCAGAUACCCGGUGAGAGAAGCAAGCCAGCCGACCCUUUUUGUAUAACCAAUACCUGAUACCCAGUCCUGUGAGCAAGCCAGUACGGAAAGCCAGUCCUGUGAUAACCCAUCCCGGGCAAAGGUACGUACUCUAUUCCAUCCAUUCCUGCUGAGCCUGACGGAACGGAACCUAAAAGAUAAUAAUCGUAUUCAUAUUUCCAUGGAAGUUUUCCUAUACCAGUUAGAUGGUUGUGGGAAAGAUUUAAACAAUAUAUUGUUUCCCUCCCCAUCUCCCACACCCACUCAGGAACUCGUUAUUAUUAAGCAAUGUUUUCAAAUGCAUUUUCAAGGCGCGUUGCGAAAAGUUUUUGGUUGAAAACGUACUGAUACUUUUCCAACAAAACGUGCGUUUUAUUGUGAAAAGCGUACGAGACGGUGCGUUUUAUUGGGGCGUGUGGUGCCCAAACGAUGCCAUUUUAAUUGUCUUGUAAGGCUAAGUGGCUAAUAGGGGCGUAAAAUGGCCGGGCCGAGCCGGGCUUCCGUUUGCUCGGGCUCGGCCCUUGACUUCUGAGUUAAGCUCGCGCUUGGCCCGGGCUUAACAGUGAGCCCAAAACCUGGGCACAAGACGGUCCUAUUAUAAGCUCACGAGCUCGAGAUGGGCUCACGGGCCCACAUCCAAUUGUUUGCACUGAAGGCAAUUGAAGCUGCACCACUAUAAAGACAAGGGGAUAUGGCCUUGCUUUUAUAGAAAAAUUAUGAAUUUAAAAUUGGUAUCUUCCGAUGUCGGACCAAAUAAACUACACUACACGCAUACAUAUAAACACACACGCAUACAUAUAAACACAGACAACUACACCCAUACAAGGCACAUAUAAGCACACACUACAGCCACUGACGCAAGCAUAUAUAUAUAAUAUACAAGCUAUACACAUGCAUAUAUAAAAACACACACACAUACAUAUACGACUACAUACAACGUAUACAUAUAUAUAGAUACACACAUAUAAACACACACACGCGUACAUAUAUAACCACACGCACACACUUAUAUACAUAAUUUUGAAUAAACACACACGCAUAUAUAUAUAUAUAUAUAUUAUUUAUAUAAAAAAGCCUUAGAGCUUACGAGCUGAGCUUCUCAAAGCCUUAGCUCGACCCUAAAUCCUAAACGAGCCCUAAAGUCGAGUCCUACCUCGGCCCUAACCCUUAAAAACACGAGCUUGAGCCGAGCUCUUAUCGGCCCACAAAUAGCCAUGUUCGCUUACACCCCUAGUGGCUGACUAGGGUCUCAACGUUAUAGGAAACAAACACGAAGCACACUGAUUUCACAACUCCAGGUCUCUCACUGUCUCGCAUACGGCAUACCUAGGCUACUAUUUCAGCAAGAAACACAGCGGCAGGUCUAUCACAACUCCAGUCGAUGCUCUCGCGGCAGCAGCAGAAACGGAAGGACCAAAGGAAGGUGGAUGAUGUUGAUGACGACGAGGAUGUCGCGCUUAUGUUUCCUCUGCUGGCUUUGUCUCCUCUUGGUUACCUCCUUGUUCUCUCUUGGCUUCCUCCUUGUUCUCCCUUCACGAAGCUUCUGGUUUUCUCCUCUCUCAGUAUCAGACUCGGACCCUAGAGCCUAGAUUGGAUCAUUCUUAUUCUAUGAAGUCUUGGGCUUAUACUUGUUCUUAUCUGGCUUGCUCAACUUUAUUUUGUGGGCCUGGUCCGCUUGUGUGUUAUUCAAGCCCUCACUACAUUUUAUUCAAAUGCUUUAACUUAAUAUUCCCUCUCUUUUUCUAUUAUAUUUCUGUAUUUUUUAAUAUAAAAAAUAUUUUUCCCGAAAAACUUACACCCCAACGCAUCAAUACUUACGCCUUGCCUCGUGAAGACGACAACGCACCGCCUUACGUUUUCGCAUUUGAAAACACUACUAUUAUGGAUCAAAGUAUCCAAUGAGGGGAGUGUAUACAACCAAGAUGGAAUGGCAUCAUUUAGAGAGUUAAAAGACAAUUCUAUGGAAUUAGUUUUGAAAGAUUUGAUAGGUUAAGAAAGGCGUCUACCAGUUGGUUAUUUUGAAGGAAUAGAAGUCUUAGUUGUGUGAGGUUUUCAAGUGAAGAUGGUAUCUCACCACUAAGAUUGUUGGAUGUGAGGUCUAGCAUCUUGAAUUGCGUAAGGUUCCCAAUAGAGUCAGGAAUCAAUCCUGUCAAAUUGUAGUUGUUAAGAGUCAAAUACUCCAAGGACAACAAAUGGUUGUUUGUUUCUAGAAAUUAGCUCCUGAUAGGCAUGUCUUGGAUAUGUAAGUUCCAGGGAGGAGUGCUUCAGUUAGACUUUGAAAAAAUAACGGUGAGGCCUUCAGUGAGUGAAUGUAGGUUUGGCGUGUGGAGAAUGUGGUAUGGGAAUUCUCCUUGCAAUCCAUAUUCAUGAAGAUUAAGAUAUGUCAGCAAGGAAGAGAGAUUCACCAAGGAACUUGCACUAACUGAGGACAUAUUAACACCGCAAAGGAGAAGUUCUUGGAUAACUACAAAAUUAUGAGCAAACUUUCUCAAUGUAGGUGCGUCAAGCUUGAAAUGCAAUGAACAGAGAUCAAGCAAAAUAAAU